rnacentral:lncRNA from 1 species
GUGUUUUGCACUGUAAAAACUUGAGAUCUGUAUAAUGUAAGAGACCUUAAUAUAACUUUCGGUGCCGAUCCUAUUGCUUGAAUUAUUUCAAUCUGUUUUAAAAGAAUUCUGGUACAUCAUGCAAACUGAAGUCGAUCCUACACUAUAUGUGGCAUCCGUACUUCUUGCUCGUGUAAGAACAAAUCCGGUAAUAAGUUGAACUCUUUAGGUUACAAUCGGGGGAAAUGGGAUAGGAUUGUGCAUGGCGACGACAAUUGGUACAUAUCUGUCGUCAUCUGUGAAACAGAUUUCGAUAACAGUCAACCAACUCGUGAC